rnacentral:rRNA from 1 species
AACGAACGCUGGCGGCAUGCCUAACACAUGCCAGUCGAACGAGACCUUCGGGUCUAGUGGCGCACGGGUGCGUAACGCGUGGGAACCUGCCCUUAGGUUCGGAAUAACUCCCCGAAAGGGGUGCUAAUACCGGAUAAUGUCUUCGGACCAAAGAUUUAUCGCCUUUGGAUGGGCCCGCGUUGGAUUAGCUAGUUGGUAGGGUAAAAGCCUACCAAGGCGACGAUCCAUAGCUGGUCUGAGAGGCUGAUCAGCCACACUGGGACUGGGACACGGCCCAGAAUCCUACGGGAGGCAGCAGUGGAGAAUAUUGGACAAUGGGCGAAAGCCUGAUCCAGCAAUGCCGCGUGAGUGAUGAAGGCCUUAGGGUUGUAAAGCUCUUUUACCCGGGAUGAUAAUGACAGUACCGGGAGAAUAAGCUCCGGCUAACUCCGUG